rnacentral:lncRNA from 1 species
UAUUAUUACAGGCAGCGAUGGUGAAGAAGAGUUUGGUUUUUUUUUUUCAAGAGGUCACAUCACAGCUUCCCCGGACACCUUAAUCUAGGCCGUGAUUCCGGUCGAGGAUGCGGGGUUCCAAAUCCUCACAGAGACCCUUGAUUAAACAUUCGGUGAAAGGCUGGAAAAUGUUUGUUGACGAUGGGGAAUGCCCGUCAUCGGGACACUGCACCUUCUUCUUCCAAGCAGGCCAACGGCCAGGUCAGCGCGUUGACGCAUGAAGUGGCUGACCUGAAGCAGCAGCUCGUGACCUAGAGGAGUCAAAUCACGCUGAUCUUACAGGCUAUUCACUUGUCUGGCAUCCAUCUCCCACCAGCUUUUCAAGAAUCGUUGACCUCUGAGUCCCUCUACCCAAAAGAGGCCCAGACCACCGACGUCGACGUAGUAGACCUUACUACACUUUUUAUGUAUUUUUUUUUUCUUUUCCAGAUAUUAUAAAGAAUUGGGUAAGUUACAUCUUACUCCCUCAAGUUUGAGUGCAAUUGUAAUCUCACGCAACAUCUUUAAUACAUUUCAAUCACAUAUUCAUCAUUCAUUUCAAUAUCAUAUAACCGUUAAAAAAAAUCUGUUAAGUUAAUGUUAAGUGAUAACAUGAAAAAUAUGGAGUUCAUAUUUACACUAAUGUGGCUGCCAACUUUGCAAUCAAAUAAAAAAAAUAUUAAAAACUUUAAAAAAAAAAAAAAGAGAAGAAAAAAAUAAGAGAGUUCAUCCCAUUCCACUCCCCCGUCUCACGCCCCACCAUUCUUCCUCUCCCAUCGUCCCACCAACGCCGUAGAAAUUUCACUUCCCUCUGUUGAACUCGCUUGAGUCCCUCCAAGAUCUUGGUCUCCGCCACAAACCCGCCACUGCUCUUUUGGCUUCAAACAUUCGAGGUUUUUCGUAUGUCGGUAAUGUACAAUUUCUUCCACAACUUUAAAUUUCAAUCGAAUCAAUCGUUGUUUAAUGCAUUAAUUUCAUACCCAAAUAGUAGAUUGGUAUAAGAAGAAUCAUGGUUGUGAUGUAAAGCCGCUUUUAGUGACUCGAGACUCACCUGGAGAAGUAAUGUUGAGGGAAGCCCAUUUGUCCCAAGCUUUAUGCACAAAACCCCAAUCCAUUCUACACCGCAAUUCGUUUGAGUAACAGUUUGAAACGGUUUCGAUGGCUCAGAUUCUUGAUCAGAAAUCGAUUCCCUCUCCGAUGCAAUUUGGGAGGCGCUGAUAGCGAGGCUCCAAAAUUUUGGUUUUCCUUUCCCAAUACAUCCCCAACUCCCUCAUCUACAUCUCUCCCUUACUUCUGUGUUCAGGUAAAAGGACAUUUUUCUUAGAGUUCUCUCCUCCAAUAAGAGCUCUUCUCUCCAGGAGAGUCUUUCUCACCGUAGUGUGAGUUUCAGCUUUCUCAUCCGUUUUCCUAUGUAAUCGCCUGCCCUGCUCUAUGUUACAUAGAC